UGAGAACUGGUGCUUGCACCGGUUCAAGGAGUUGCGAACGGGUGAGUAACGCGUAGGUAACCUACCUCAUAGCGGGGGAUAACUAUUGGAAACGAUAGCUAAUACCGCAUAAGAGAGACUAACGCAUGUUAGUAAUUUAAAAGGGGCAAUUGCUCCACUAUGAGAUGGACCUGCGUUGUAUUAGCUAGUUGGUGAGGUAAAGGCUCACCAAGGCGACGAUACAUAGCCGACCUGAGAGGGUGAUCGGCCACACUGGGACUGAGACACGGCCCAGACUCCUACGGGAGGCAGCAGUAGGGAAUCUUCGGCAAUGGGGGCAACCCUGACCGAGCAACGCCGCGUGAGUGAAGAAGGUUUUCGGAUCGUAAAGCUCUGUUGUUAGAGAAGAAUGAUGGUGGGAGUGGAAAAUCCACCAAGUGACGGUAACUAACCAGAAAGGGACGGCUAACUACGUGCCAGCAGCCGCGGUAAUACGUAGGUCCCGAGCGUUGUCCGGAUUUAUUGGGCGUAAAGCGAGCGCAGGCGGUUUUUUAAGUCUGAAGUUAAAGGCAUUGGCUCAACCAAUGUACGCUUUGGAAACUGGAGAACUUGAGUGCAGAAGGGGAGAGUGGAAUUCCAUGUGUAGCGGUGAAAUGCGUAGAUAUAUGGAGGAACACCGGUGGCGAAGGCGACUUUCUGGCCAUAACCUGACGCUGAGGUACGAAAGCGUGGGUAGCAAACAGGAUUAGAUACCCUGGUAGUCCACGCCGUAAACGAUGAGUGUUAGGUGUCUGGAUAAAUCUGGGUGCCCACUACGCAUUACACUCCCCUG
rnacentral:rRNA from 1 species